rnacentral:lncRNA from 1 species
GUUUUGCUUUGGUCCUGGACUUUUCUAUUCCCCCAUUUCUUCAUUUGGUUAUUUGAAUGUUUACCUUGUGCCUCUGUAUCUUGAGAACAUGUAACUUGCUUUUUAAAUCUACAGGGAUUUACAGAUGAGAGUUUGCCUUAAGUCUCAGAGGAGAUUUUGGAUUUGGAAUUUUGAGCAGUGCUGGAACUGUUGAGACUUUGGGGAGAACAACAUGUUUUCAGUUGUAGCUGGGAUUUACAAUUUAGAGAAAGCCAAAUUUGAAGAAGUUGAUCUUUCCUGCUUACACUGGUUAGAUUUUGGAAAUCUGGAAAUGGAGCCAUUGGCAUUUCAAGAAAGUUCUGUCUGGAAAAAUAAAUUCUGUGACUUGUGUGCAACCCUUGAGAAGAUAGAGAACAUGGAAUGUGAGGGAGAACAAAGGACUGCAGGUGGUAGCUCUGAAAAUGAAAUCCUUAAAGUGUGGAAUUCCGUGCCGAAUAAUUGUAAGUCAAUGAAAGCACUUGGGAUUGCUUUUCUUACUUUGUUUGGAACAUCUCAUGUUUGUGAGCAGUUGUGUUCAGUUUUGAAUUCUAUCAAAUCUGAUACAGGAAACAGACUGACUGAUGAUGACCUGAGUCUGCAUGUGUUGCUCUCAAGCUAGCAAAGUGUGAGCCAAGGUUGACAGAUUAUCAGAUGCAUAGGACAGCAAGAUCACAUUAAUGGUGCAAAAGCAUGCCAAAUGCAAACUUUUACCUUUCAAUAAAAAAGCUGUUUGUAUUGUUGAAAGCUCUGCUAUUACGUUUUUCUUUUAAAAC